GAUGAAGAACGUAGCGAAAUGCGAUAAGUAGUGUGAAUUGCAGAAUUCAGUGAAUCAUCGAAUCUUUGAACGCACAUUGCGCCCUUUGGUAUUCCUUAGGGCAUGCCUGUUCGAGAGUCAUUUAAACCUUCAAGCUAAGCUUGGUGUUGGGUGACUGUCCGCUUCACGGCGGACUCGCCUCAAAAUUAUUGGCGGCCGGUACAUUGGCUUCGAGCGCAGCAGAAACGCGAACUCGGGCCCGUCGUAUUGGCUCCCAGAAGCUAUCUUCACAAUUUUGACCUCGGAUCAGGUAGGGAUACCCGCUGAACUUAAGCAUAUCAAUAAGCGGAGGA
rnacentral:misc_RNA from 1 species